UGUGUGUGGGGGGGGGGGUUACAAAUCUGUUGUCCUUACUCAUAUACAGACAAGUAGUCCCAUUGGAUUUAGGGGAGUAAUUCAGUAAGCAGAAGAGUCCUGCAUGAGCAGGAGCUGCACAGUUUAGUUCUACAAGCUGAUGUUCUUUCCCUAAAGCAUCUGGUAUAACUAUGACCAGUAGCUAAGAAGAGCAAUUACAAAAAAUGCAAAUGAAAGGAAAAGGAAUUGAAGCAACUUUCAGACUAACGUAAAUAUUUUGGAUGUUGUCCUGGAUGUCUUAGGAAUGUCUCAAACACAGACUACACAGCACAGAAUGCACGCAUGAAGUCAGAUAUUUCAGUGUUAUUUUCAUAUUAAAUAGUAAACAUUUCCUUGGAGGUUAGGAACAUCAUCCUUAGAAAUGUGAGGCAUGCAGAAAAUCAAUGUGUCUAGUAAUGUUUCUUCUGUGAGUUCCAAACACUUUCGCAAGCCUUUCCAGUGUAAUAUUUUAUAAGCAUAUUUAUAAAUGUACAGAUAAUUCUUACGAUUAAAAAUCUUCCCACAGUUUUAACAUGUUUCAGAGAAAUGGUGAUUAAGAAGUCACAGUUACCUUAGUAACAGCUAAAAGGCACACAGUGGGAAAGUGCUCAACUUAACCAUUAAAGACAAAUCCGAAAAGCAAAGUUCUCAAAGCCAUGCUCUCAUUUUGAACAGCUCUUUACAUUGAAAAGAAAUGUCCAAUUUUCAAAGAAGGCAUUCUGAACACAGCAAUAUUAGCUUUUUUAUAGAAAAAGCCACAAGAUAUUUAAAAAAUUGCUAACAGAAAAGAUCAUGUAUAUUUUAAGAUAUUUACUACAAAAUCCUCUUCCAAAUGCAACUUCUUGGAUAGUUUAUUACAAAUCAAAACAUCAAAUCCCAGUUUCUGUUUUUAAACUAAUAGCUUGUAAGAGAUUCUGAUAAUAAUAUUUAAAUUAUGUUCCUUGAACUUCCAGUUAAAGACUUGUGCCCCUAACUACAUUUCAUACCCAUAAUGAGCAUGAAGAUGAUUGUAGAAGAGGAUUCUGCAGCUUUCUUUCCUUUAGUUUAAUUGAGGAUCAUUAAGUUCUAUGAAUCCCUUAGGAGUUCUGCAAAUUUACAGCAGUAGAGAGAGGUAGAGACCUGAAGAGCCUGAGAGGAAACUGCUGGCCUAAAAUGAAUUGUGAGAAUAGCAUCUGUGUCACCAUCUCACUAAGUUCUGCUUCUGGAUUAUUUCAUUUCGGUGAGGAAAUGAGUUCAUUUCUGGAAAAGAGGAUAGGAUCUGUUUGCAAACUAAAACACAAUGAAAGUUUUAACACUUGAAGAGGUAGCUACAAUAAAUAAAAAGGCUACAGUAGACAGGGGUUGGACAAUGAGAAAGUGGGUUUGCUGAGCUACAGGCAGCAAUCUGGUAGUGUGACCCUACUGUAUAUGGGAAGGAGAUGGAGGCACUACUGAAUAUAUACAGUAGAUGCAAAGGGUCACGAAGCAUAAUUUGGAGGUAGCAAUGGUACUGUACAGGCAAAAAAAAUUAUGCUCUAUUAUGGAUAGUGGGUAUAGGAAAAAGUUACUCCUUCCCCUGCUAACUGGUUUAACUGUAUCCUUCACUGGUCAAAGCUAACGAAACCAUAGUUUUGUUUGAGAGCAGGACUUUACUGUAGACAUAGUCCAAUACAACUUUUCACAGCACUCAUUUCUUGUUUAAAAUGUGCUUUUGAUAGCAAUAUACAUAUAUAGUACAUACAGGACUAUUAUAGUGUGUGUAUAUAUACAUAAUUAUAUACAUAAUGUUCAAAUUAAAACUUAUUUCUUCUCUAAAAGCUGACUGGUAUCCUUCUGGGUGCGAUGCAUUAAGAGACACUACAUUUUUUUCUAAUGCCCUGGGUUGGCUGCAUACUUAACAACAACUUUGCUAGUUGAAUAGGACUUACACCAACUAAAAAUAGUUUGAAAAAUUCAAAGAGGCCUUUGUGAAAGCACUUAUUCAUCAUGGAAUUGCUGAGGUGCUAAAGGAACUGUGUUGCAAAGCAAGCAAGCUACCUAUUUGGGAGUACUAGGGAGGUGGUAAGGCUCAAACACUCAUAGUUCUAAGACCACUUUGAAAGUGGCAAGUGGCCUAGCUUCAGUUUGCAAGCUGGAAAAGUUAGAAGUGGGG